ACGAACGCUGGCGGCGUGCUUAACACAUGCAAGUCGAACGGAAAGGCCCUGCUUUUGUGGGGUGCUCGAGUGGCGAACGGGUGAGUAACACGUGAGUAACCUGCCCUUGACUUUGGGAUAACUUCAGGAAACUGGGGCUAAUACCGGAUAGGAGCUCCUGCUGCAUGGUGGGGGUUGGAAAGUUUCGGCGGUUGGGGAUGGACUCGCGGCUUAUCAGCUUGUUGGUGGGGUAGUGGCUUACCAAGGCUUUGACGGGUAGCCGGCCUGAGAGGGUGACCGGCCACAUUGGGACUGAGAUACGGCCCAGACUCCUACGGGAGGCAGCAGUGGGGAAUAUUGCACAAUAGGCGGAAGCCUGAUGCAGCAACGCCGCGUGCGGGAUGACGGCCUUCGGGUUGUAAACCGCUUUCGCCUGUGACGAAGCGUGAGUGACGGUAAUGGGUAAAGAAGCACCGGCUAACUACGU
rnacentral:rRNA from 1 species